CUUGGCGACGUCGUCGGGGCACGCGACGUCGGCGUUGCGGACCUCGAUCCGCGCGCCCCGGUCGGCGAGCUCGGCGAUCGUCCGCCGCGCCUCGUCC
rnacentral:tRNA from 1 species